CUUGAACUUGUUAUAUUGCUCACUCUGGCCUUGAGUUGCUGAUCCUUCUACCUCAACCUUCCAAUUGUUGAAACCUGAGCAUACAGGUUCAUUUAUUCUCUAAUGAAUGUUUCCCAAGCUCUAUGUAUGUUCUGGGGAUGGACAUAAGUGCUGGGCUAUGAGGAUGGACAAAAUAACAGUAGACAAGAAAGUUCCUAAAGGAAAUGGCCUAGUGGGUAAAGGUGCCUGUUGUGAAAGCAAGAGGGCCCGAGUUCAAAUACUCAGCACCUGAGUAAAAUCUAGGCAUGGCCAUGUGUGCAUGUGACCCUGGUGUGUGUGUGUGUGUGUGUGUGUGUGUGUGUGUGGCAGAGCCUGGCAAGAUCCAGAAGUUUGCUGUCCAGACAGACUAGCUAAGACAAGAGCACUUCAGGUUUAGUGAGAGACCCUGUCUCAGAAAAUAAGGUAGAGAGAAAUAAAGGAAGAUUACUGGCAUCCUCUUCUUGCUUCUACACAGGUUCUUACAAAUGUACACACACACACACACACACACACACACACACACACACACACACACACACACCACACACACACACACACGGACAUGUGGGGGCAGAAAAAGAGACCCUUAAGAAAAGUGGGGUUCUGGGGAAGCAGCUCAGAGGGCUUGUCUAGCAAAUGUAAGGUCCUGGGUCUAACACUCAGCACCACCGAAAGAAAUGACACAGAACCUGUUCUUCACAGCGUAAGAUAUCUAAAUUGAUCUUCUCGUAUGCUGUCCGUAUCUUUUAACCUUUGCACGGUUUGUUCGACACCUAGGAUGUGUUCAGCAUUUUGUUGUCAUCGUGAGACUCAUCUAGCAUCUUCCUGCAAAGGAGAUCUGCAGCUUCAAACACUGCUCUUUGCCAGACCUUUUCUUCUCCCUGGAAAGCCCUUGCCAAACAGCCACAUUUCACUCUGUCUGAUCCAGGCUUUUUAUCUGUUCUCAACCAGACAAGCGCACAAUGCUUCAUUUGCCGGCUGUGCAUUUCCAGGGUCUGCUUGUGCACACUCCCACCAUACCAGUAUGCUGUGCAAAGCGCCCCAAAGGUAUUUCUCAGUUCUGGCAAAACCACCGAGAUGCUUCUCGAACAAAAACCCUUACAAUUUCAAAGAGUGUUUGGACAACUGGAGAUUAGAAGCCUCAGUGGCUUUGCUCUGUGGCUUUAUACCAAAUCAGCAGAGCAGUGGGCACCAGAUUCAGACGUGAAGUGGUGAAAUUAUGAAAUGCAAAUAUCAUUUGGCAAGAGAGAAGUCUGACGAAUGUACAUUGAAAUGUUUGCAAGACUGAGCUCCUUGGCUUGUGUGUGUUCUGGAGUGCUGGUCAGAAACUUUAGAUCCCCAGACUCAGUGAAGAGCCUGGCUGACAUCAUCAAGAGCAAUGAAAAGUCCCAAAUCCAGUGAUUAAAAAACUCUGAUCUAUCCUGUCUAUUCUGGAUAAUAACGGAUAUAUUUGCAGUUCCUGUUUGACAUGUUCUGCCAGAGACCUAGGUAGAUUUAAGGUGGCCCCAGGAAAUUGGAAGCAACAAAGGCUGCCUGUGGCCUGAGUCAUCAUGAGAAAGGGUCAAGGGCAGAGGCAGAGAGGAGGAUCCUGGGAAAAUUUUAGGGUGAGCAGACCACUCUGGAGCCUCUGUUGAUAGCUCUUGACUGGGUAAUCUCCUGUUCUUCAUUCUCUUUAGAGAGAGAGAGAGAGAGAGAGAGAGAGAGAAGACAAAAGAAAUUUUGCGCCAGGUGUUGGUGGCGCAUGCCUUUAAUCCCAGCACUUGGGAGGCAGAGACAGGUGGAU
rnacentral:lncRNA from 1 species